AGUUUGAUCCUGGCUCAGGACGAACGCUGGCGGCGCGCCUAACACAUGCAAGUCGAACGAGAGAUGAGGAGCUUGCUCUUCAGAUCGAGUGGCGAACGGGUGAGUAACGCGUGAGGAACCUGCCUCAAAGAGGGGGACAACAGUUGGAAACGACUGCUAAUACCGCAUAAGCCCACAGCUCGGCAUCGAGCAGAGGGAAAAGGGAUUUUCCCUUUUGAGACGCCCCGCGUCCGAUUAACUAUGUGGUGGAGGAACCGCCCCCACAAGGGCACAAAUCGGUACCCCGGAUUGAGAGUUUUAAACGCCCACAUUGGGGCUGAGACCCGGCCCCAGAUUUCUUCGGGGAGGCAGCAGUGGGGAAUAUUGCACAAUGGGGGAAACCCUGAUGCAGCGACGCCGCGUGGAGGAAGAAGGUCUUCGGAUUGUAAACUCCUGUUGUUGAGGAAGAUAAUGACGGUACUCAACAAGGAAGUGACGGCUAACUACGUGCCAGCAGCCGCGGUAAAACGUAGGUCACAAGCGUUGUCCGGAAUUACUGGGUGUAAAGGGAGCGCAGGCGGGAGAACAAGUUGGAAGUGAAAUCCAUGGGCUCAACCCAUGAACUGCUUUCAAAACUGUUUUUCUUGAGUAGUGCAGAGGUAGGCGGAAUUCCCGGUGUAGCGGUGGAAUGCGUAGAUAUCGGGAGGAACACCAGUGGCGAAGGCGGCCUACUGGGCACCAACUGACGCUGAGGCUCGAAAGUGUGGGUAGCAAACAGGAUUAGAUACCCUGGUAGUCCACACCGUAAACGAUGAUUACUAGGUGUUGGAGGAUUGACCCCUUCAGUGCCGCAGUUAACACAAUAAGUAAUCCACCUGGGGAGUACGACCGCAAGGUUGAAACUCAAAGGAAUUGACGGGGGCCCGCACAAGCAGUGGAGUAUGUGGUUUAAUUCGACGCAACGCGAAGAACCUUACCAAGUCUUGACAUCCCUUGACGAACAUAGAAAUAUGUUUUCUCUUCGGAGCAAGGAGACAGGUGGUGCAUGGUUGUCGUCAGCUCGUGUCGUGAGAUGUUGGGUUAAGUCCCGCAACGAGCGCAACCCUUAUGGUCAGUUACUACGCAAGAGGACUCUGGCCAGACUGCCGUUGACAAAACGGAGGAAGGUGGGGAUGACGUCAAAUCAUCAUGCCCUUUAUGACUUGGGCUACACACGUACUACAAUGGCGUUAAACAAAGAGAAGCAAGACCGCGAGGUGGAGCAAAACUCAGAAACAACGUCCCAGUUCGGACUGCAGGCUGCAACUCGCCUGCACGAAGUCGGAAUUGCUAGUAAUCGUGGAUCAGCAUGCCACGGUGAAUACGUUCCCGGGCCUUGUACACACCGCCCGUC
rnacentral:rRNA from 1 species